UUCACUAAGGUUGAUAAACCUUGACAUGCCUAUGGGGCUACUAUCAUGUUUCAUCCAAUGCAUAUCAGUGCAUACUAUCUAUAGAUAGAACAAUGGGAUGAUAUCAAACACUCUGAUAAGUGUAACAUGAAGUUAGUGCAGACUUAAAAAUUAGGC
rnacentral:ribozyme from 1 species